AUAGUUAAUAUGGAUAGUGUGAGUAUAAUAUAAAUUAAAAGGUUUAGAUAUAUGAUUGAUGGGUUGAAGCAUAUUACUGCUGUUAUUCAUCCUAUAUGGGCGAUUGGGGAGUAAGCUAAGAUUUUUCGUAAUUGUGUUUGGUUUAAACCUCCUCAUCCUCCUAGUAGGAUGGAUAGAAGGGAGAAUGUAAUGAUUAUUGUUUGGUUUGCUGAGGAAUGGAUUUGGAAUAUAAUGGAUAGAGGGGCAAUUUUUUGUCAUGUAAGUAGGAUUAUUCCUGAUCACAGACUGAUUCCUUGGGUUACUUCAGGUACUCAUAGGUGGAAUGGAGCUAAUCCUAGUUUUAUUAUUAAUGAUAAUAUAAGGAUUGAUGAGGUUAUUUGGUUUUGUGCGUGAAUAAUCAUUCAUUGACCUGAAAGAGCUAUGGAGUAAAUGGUUGCUAUUAUGAAUAUCAUGGAUGCUGUUGCUUGGACUAAGAAGUACUUGGUUGCGGCUUCUGUGGAUCGUGGGCUUGUUUUGUGCGUGAGGAUUGGGAUUAUGGCGAAUAUGCUUAUUUCUAGUCCUGCUCAUAUUAGUAAUCAAUGGGAACUGGUAAGUGUAAUUAGUGUCCCUGAAAUUAGGGUGAGGUAGAUGACACUGUUGGAGAUGAGGUUAAUUAGUACGGGAAGGCGUGGACCAACAUUUUCGGGGUAUGGGCCCGAUAGCUUAUUUAGCUGACCUUACUGUUAGGAUGUGGUGUAUUGGUUGCACGAGGAGUUUUGGUCUCUUUGGGUUAGGUUCAAGUCCUAUUAUUCUAGAAAUAGAAGGGUUCAAACCUUCAUGGUUUACUCCAUCAAAGUAACUCUUUUUUCAGACAUAUUUCUAGGUUGUUUGUGGGGGUGUUCCGAAUAGUCCGAUGGGAAAAGAAAUGUGUCAUAUACAUAUGGCUAGUGAUAUUGGUAGGAAAUUUUUUCAUAAUAAGUGUAUGAGUUGAUCAUACCGGAAUCGGGGGUAUGAGGGUUUUAAUUGUGAAGUAUAUUGUAAAAUUUUCUGGGUUGGUGGAUAUUGGGGAUGUGUUGAUAAAGAUAAUGGUGGUCAGGGCAUUUAUUAUAAUGAUAUUAAUGUAUUCUGCUAUGAAGAAUAGUGCGAAGGGUCCUGCUGCGUAUUCUACGUUGAAUCCAGAGACUAAUUCUGAUUCUCCUUCGGCUAGGUCGAAUGGGGCUCGGUUAGUUUCUGCUAGGGUUGAGAUAAAUCAUAUUAUGGCUAGGGGUUUUUUUGUUUGGUU
rnacentral:lncRNA from 1 species